AACUUGCAAAAUUGGAAAGUUUAAACAAGUGUAAAUUAAAGUUUAAAAAGUGUAAAUUAGUAAUUUUAGUAAAUUAUAUAUCGCUAGAUCUGUUGAAAAAACAUGAUAAGUGAAAUUUCAAUAGAACUCAAGAAUUAUAUAGCUUGAAAAUACGAUGUUUAUGUGAUAAUCAAAAAAUACAAAUAAGCAUAUAAAAGAUUCUCGAAUAUUUGUUGAAUUUCUAAGAAAUAAGUUUUACACGAAGAUUGCUAAUCAUAUAUCAUACAAUAUUAUUUGAUUAAUAUCGUAAUUUUAUCCAUAUACCUUGCUCUGAAGAAAUAUUGCUUGAUUGGGUUGCAGGUGGUUUUAUUGGUCCCGCUGAAUUUGCCGCAGAUGGCUGAUUGUUCAUUAACAGAGUCCCACUAUGAUUUAAUGUAGGAGCCUAAAGAAUAUAUUAUCCUUUUAUCUCAAGAAAUUCAUUGUGGUGGUCGUUGUCGAAGGUCCUGGCGGGUUUUUCUUUGUUUUCUUUCUAUGUGGACGAUUCGACGAAUUUCCUGAAAUUCAAUGUGCAUCUAACAAGUGAGUAAUGUGCAGUCAAUCAUCAUUCUCUGUCACAUCGAGAGAUGGGAAACUAGUGAAAUGCAGUGUGCAGAGAGGAUACCAGCCAUCGAAAACGUUGCAUAACGGCAAGUAAAAAUGCGAAACAAAACAUUAGAAACGAACAAAAUCAAACAACUCUUCAAGCAUAUAUUUUCUAAUAGAUUUUAUUCAUAUGCUUAUAUUAUAAUUGUAUCACUGUGUACAACAAUGUUAAUUUAAAUAUCUCAAUUGUAUGUUCCUUUUUUUGUGGACUUUCAUCUCUCUUGGUGAUUUUUUAUAUUAAAAAAUUUUAAUACGCAGAACGACUUCGUCCCCCUCAUUCUCUACAUAAAGUUGGUUGUAUUCAAUUCAUUUAUGAUUAUUUGCGUGUGCAUAUAUAUGUAUAUGUAUACACAUCAUAUAAAUACAUACAUACAUACCGCACGCGCGCCCACAUAUACAUGCACACGUGUCGCGAAGAGAGAGAGUUUUCACACAUACAUAUAUAUUUAUAUAUAUAGUUCACAUAUAUGUAUGCGAGAGCACGCGCCUGCUCUCUUCGUUUAAGUGUAGCGAUAAUAAUGAUUUAUUAUAAUAACAAUAUAAUAAUAAUUGUGACGGUGGCGGAAGUGACGAUUAUGAAAUAUUGACUACAAAAAUCAUCAAAUUGCCGUCUUUCUUUUUUAUAUUUCCAUAUAAUAUAAUAUAUAAUUAAUGUAAUAUAUGAUAGGAAUAAUGUGUAAAUAAAUGGUAUGAUACGGGUUCAACUUCUUAUUUCUUUUAUGGAUUUUCGUCCUUUUCUGGGACAAAGUACCACGGUUUAUGGAUUCAACUUAAAGAUGAAGGAUACACGAGAGUGACACACUCUUACAGAUUGUUUAAUGUUAAAGUCGUAGUUAGCGCAACAUUGAGAUCGGUGGCAAGAGACUCCUGCUCGAUGUUCAUAAUGUGUGUACUAUAUAAAAUCAUCGGUGAGACGGUGGUAGAUACAUGGGAGAAGCACCAUGAGAUAACAUCAUUUUUGUUUUUGUCAGAUAUGUGCUCUCAAACAAUUCGUGAUCACAACAAUCACAGCGCCGAAAUUUAUCGAUGGAAUGUGACGGACAAACCUUGCUUUAAAAUCCGUUCGAUGAUAAACGAAAGCAACGAAAAAAAAAAAAGCCAACGAGAAGGAGUACCAGCGUAUCUUAAUUUAUAUAAUAUAGUUAACUGGACCACCCAUAUAUGAGCCAACCGCGACUCUUGAAGAGAAUUAACGUCUACGUCACUCGUUUAAACUUUGUGUGUAUGCACUUAAUAAAAAAAGAGUCUCGCGCGUGUCUAUGUAUGUGUCGCAUUUCUUCUCCGUAACUGUAACUUAUAGCUAUUUAUUAAUAUUUUAUGAUAUAUUAGUUUUUACUAUGUACAAAAAACACGUACGCUCGUGUUUACCGUUAUUAUUAAAUUCGCGAUACGCAGAGAGAAAACAGAUGGAACGCUUAUAACUACGAGUCCGAAAUAGAAAGGUAAUAUCGGCGAUAUUAAAUAAAAGAGAUGUGUGUGUACGUGUGUCUAUUUUUCGAAUAUAAUAAAAUAUUUAGAUUCCUUAAAUAAUCUGCUUUCGCGUAUAACUAGCAGGAAGAGUGAUGACAUUCCAGUCUGGAUGAAAGAAUGCGAAAAAAAAAAUUUAGACGCGUGCUUGCAUACAGAGUAAAUGCUACAAAAAUUUUGGAAGGCAAUAUGGAUAUCAUUUUAUAAAAUGCCCUAUACCUCGUGUUACAAGCUAAUGGUGAUUGUAUCUUAAUAGAUGCGUCGUAGGAUCUAUCUAAUUCAGCACACGCUGCCAAAAAUUUGUUCUCCCAUAAUCUAGCUAAUUAUUCGGAUAUCCUUCUCUCUCUUUCUCUAGUCACUUUCAGUAUUUUGGAGAAACAUAAAACGGCGAUAAUGUAUAUUAAUCUGUCUGACAUUUCUCAUAUUCUACCUUUAAAUGCUUAUAAUUCCAAUAAUCAAUAACUCUCUUAAUCGACGAACACUUUUUUUCGACCAAUUGUGGCUUGUUUGUAUCGAGUAAUUAUCGUAAUAAUUAAUUGCCCUAUCUCUUAUCUCUCUCUCUUUUUUUUUUGCUUUCUUUCUUUCUUCUGUCGGGACAGUAAGUACGCUGCUGAGUGUAUGAUUCAUGAUACUAUUUAAUUGUACUCGAGUGCAAAUUCGAUUAUCGUUAAUGCUCACGUUAUGUUUAAUUACAAGCCCACCUUGCAGGUGAAACAGCUUAGAGCGUCAUUAUCGGUUACGUUCACAAUAAAUUCUUAUCAAUAUAUAUCUUCUUAUAUAUAUAAUAAGAACUAAAUUUAUACAUGAUAUCUCAACAAAAAACAUUAUCAUGGAGCAGACAUUUACACAUAGAAAUAUAAAAACAAAAAAUUAUCAUUAAAAUUAAUCUUGUUUAAACUCGUAUAAAAGAUUUUCUAAAAAUGUUUUAAUAGGACGGGUUAAGAGUAAUGCUAUACUUCAAAAGUUAUGACAAUAUUCGUUACUCGGAAAUUAUUAACGGUAUUUACAAUACACAUUGUGAAAUACUAUUGCGAUGAAAUGUGUGAAAUGUGUGAUGCGCUUGACUUGAAUAGCUACUAUUCUCACAUAUUGAGAGGCAUGUAAAACCACACCAAUUCUCAUAAUUCGCAAUUCUCAUUGGUAUAGUGAUAUCAAUUUCAGAAAGAAGACACUCUUCCCAAUUUUUCUUCUAAUCAUUUGAACGAUGAGAAAACUGACAAUGGUUAACCGAUGAGGAACUAGUGGUAAAUAAGAUGAAACGACGAUUUGCAAAGCUUAGCGGAGUGCAAACAAUGUGUUUGGAGGCUAGGGCGCCUUGUGUAUACAUAUAUGUAUAUAGAUAUAUAUAUUUAUAUUUAUAUAUGUAUAUAUAUAGAUCAUUUCCUCUUAACUUGUUUCCCUUCCUAUUCCUUUUCCUUUCUACCUGCUUUCACUGUGAUCAAUCUUGUCGAGUCCCUUUCUCUGUGUCGUUUUCCUAUCUUACCUUCUACUUCUUUAAGUUUGCACACAUAUGUGCAUGCUCAAAGUCAUUCAUUUUACAAAAAACACAAAUGAGAUCUGUCGAUUAGAACUCAGAUGUAAGUGUACUCUCCGCACUAAUUUAUCCUCUAUGGAUUUAUUAGAAUUACUUUAUUCGAAUCUAUGCACUCGGAACGAGUCAGUAAGGAAGAUACGAAAGAAAUACUUUAAUAAUUGACUUCUUAAAGGAAGCACAUCUUUGCCUAUGGUAAGCUUUAAGAUCGAGGUGGAAAUAGUAACAAUGAAACCGAUAUCUCUUCGUAUUCGUGAGAAGAAUCUUGUUUUAGAAUUGCUUUGCGAAGAUAAAAUUCUCGCAAGAGAGCGUGAGUCACUGGUAAAAUACAAACGCGUAAUAUUGUGAACUAUAUGCUAAACCUUGAAAUGUGCACUAAUUUGCAAAUCUAGCCACCAAUACACAUUGUCUGCAUUCCCGUGUGUGUAUCGCUAUGAUCCCACCGCCUAAAUUGUCUCUUUACGAUAACGAUAACCGGUAUCAUUAUGGUCCGCAUAGUUUGAAAUGUGUGGAAAUGACCGAGGAGCAUAAAACGCAGACGUUUCACAUCAACCAAAUAAUAUUGCGUAUUAUACCCACUUCUUAUGGUUUAGUGCGACGCCUGUUAAUCACUAAAUUCUGAGAAAUGAUACGACAUGAAUGGAUCAAUGUGAGAAACCAAACUUAAUGAUUCGAAAAACACAGUGAUACAAGUAACUGCUGUUCUGAUUAUCGUUUAAUAUAAAUAAAUAACGCAAGUUUGCAAGAGUUAAUAUAUUGAAUGAUCUUUCGGGUUAUAUGUGGGGCGAUAUAUAAUUAUCGGGGAAAGCUAUGAAAAAUACGUUUGUGUAACUUAUACAAGGUACUAUUAUUUGACACUACAGUCAUAUGGCAUUUUGCAAUUUUGCUCAUCGCGGGGUGAAGAAGUCUCUUCAGAGGCAUUUACUAACUUAGGAAAGCAAUAAUUUUCUUACAAACCCAAAGGCGGGACUGCAGUGAGAAAUUCAGUAACCUUGAGUAGCAAACUAUACUUGACUUUCGAGCAACAGAAUGUAUUGUCAACACCGAUAGGGCAAGAGAAAAUAAUCAUAUUGUUCAUAAUCAAUAUAAUUCAUGAAACAAGCUGGCAUGGCAUAUGGUAUCCUCUAAACACAGUCUGCACUCCACUAGCUCACCUUUGUUCUUACCAUUGCAUAUGUCUCGUAAAUUAAAUAAAAAUUCUUUCUGUGUGUGUCAAGUUUCAAAUUCUUAAUGCUACAUACACCGCACAUCCGCGAUACUUGUCGGUGGUAAAAAGUGUGCGAAAUUUUACAGUUAUAUCAUCUCAUUCUACAAUCUGUUUUCAAAAUGAAACUUGACACUCACAUCUGUACUUGCAUUAAUAUAACGCAGCACUUAAGCUACAUGUGUGUAUGUGUAUGUGAAUAACGCCGUCCUAAUAAAUACAGUAAUUAAUAAGCAAGAUUCAGCAGCUUAAGAAGAUAUUUGCGAUACACGUCAAACCCCUUUUUGAAAAAAUCGUUUAUAUCUAGUUUGUAACUUCCUUCUUGCGUAUGUUAUACACACUGCUAAUAAUGCAUCAGUGUUUUUCGAUUGUUUUAUUUGCCAAUAGAAAAUUGGUUAGGCACAGAGUUCACGAAUAUUUUUUUUCUUUGAAGUUCUUAAAUUUAUCACCAAAUCAUGAGGCAUCACUUUUUCCAAUAGAGACUGUCAAGUUUUAGUGUAUAUAAUAAUAGAAAUGAAAUACGAUGAACAGAUAAUUAAUUCAUUUUUUUAGUUCUUUUAAACUUAUUGAUAACAAAAAAUUUAAAUUGUUGGUAUAUAAGCCUUUUUUUUACCAUAAAAUUAAAGUUGCAUUAUAUAAUUUUCUGCUAUGUACUGAAAUAUUAUAAUUAUAAUGAUAAUCACAUGCAUUAAGUAUUACAUUCACUCUGUAGUUAAGAAGUUAUAUUAUCGAGAUAAAAAUAUGUUUUAUUUUCUAUUGUUUUAUACAGUUAGUGUACAAAAUUUAAUGUACAUAAUGUGUGUGUGUGUGUGUGUAUGUGUGUGUAUAUACGUGCAUGUGUAUAUGUUUAUGUAUGUUGCGUGUGCCACAUGAAAUGGUGAGUCAUUUUUAAACAGCUUGAACUUCACGUCUACGACUCCGUCGCUAUUUUUCUUGAUAGUAGUAAAUUUCUUAUUAUUUUAAAUUGAUAAUGUCAUUUAUAGUAUUAUACAACACGCAAAAAAA